AGUAACUUGAUUCCUUUUCGGUAACGGC
rnacentral:sRNA from 1 species